UGCACGGGAAAUUUGGUUUGGAAAAGGCAGGCGCGCAGGAACGUGCCAAACAUCAUAGCUUCUCAGCGUGUUGUCUUUUUCCUACAUUCCCAGCGCGCGAAGCGCGUCGGACAACUCGCUGCCGGGCACUACUUUCAGUGUGGCCCAGGUCGCGGGAAGCGGAUGGAAAGGAUGCCUGUAGCGUACGCGAAGCACACGCUACCGCGCGCUCCGACGCGCCCCCACAGCAGCUGCCCGACGUGUGCCCAGGGCCUGCGGGGCCCGCCGAGAUCGGUGGCUGCGCUGCGCACUGCUCACCAACUCCGAGCCACCAGGCCGCCUUAGAACCCCUUCUCCUGCCAACCCCAAGUGCUCGCACUCUCCAGUCGUAGCCCGCCGUCCUCACCGGGAGCGAUUCCUAUUUGGCCGGGGAUCUGGACUCAGAGCAUCCCAGGAGGCGCGGGCCAGGGACUUCCAGCGCCGCCCCGGAUCGUGCUACCGCUCCCUCCAAGCAGCCAGGGCCUCGGAGGCUUUUCUCUGGAUCCGGAGAAGCGACUGGCAAACUUUGGGGGACAACUUUACCACAAUCGUUUUAGGCACGGGAGACCUCGACAGCCCGAGUGGCAACGGCAAACAGGGGCCAUGAAGGGUGGGGCUGGUCCCGGGGCCCGGCCCAGGCGUCCUCAUAGGAGCAGACCGGGCGACCCCCGGAGGGGCGUGAGGCGGGCCGCUGCGCGCUGAGCUCAUCCCACUCGCUCUGCCUCUCCCGAACUCGGCCCACGGCACCGCGUCUCCGAGGGAGCUCUUGCUUGGCAGCGCCCAGCAUCGUGGCCUGGUUCGAAAACCUGGCUUUGGAUGGAGCCGAAUGGUUUUAUUUUUCUUUACCUCUCUGGGAUCGGUCUUUCCCCCACUUGACUUCGCUCCCCUGGCUGUCUUUGUUUUUCUCUCUGGCUCACACUUUCUGCGUAUUUGAUUUCUAGGUCAUUCGUUUUCCUCA